rnacentral:rRNA from 1 species
UGGGGAAUAUUGCACAAUGGGCGCAAGCCUGAUGCAGCCAUGCCGCGUGUGUGAAGAAGGCCUUCGGGUUGUAAAGCACUUUCAGCGAGGAGGAAGGGUAGUGUGUUAAUAGCACAUUGCAUUGACGUUACUCGCAGAAGAAGCACCGGCUAACUCCGUGCCAGCAGCCGCGGUAAUACGGAGGGUGCAAGCGUUAAUCGGAAUUACUGGGCGUAAAAGCGCACGCAGGCGGUUUGUUUAAAGUCAGAUGUGAAAAUCCCCCGCGCUUAACGUGGGAACUGCAUUUGAAACUGGCAAGCUAGAGUCUUGUAGAGGGGGGUAGAAUUCCAGGUGUAGCGGUGAAAAUUGCGUAGAGAUCUGGAGGAAUACCGGUGGCGAAGGCGGCCCCCUGGACAAAGACUGACGCUCAGGUGCGAAAAGCGUGGGAGCAAAACA